CUGAAAAUAUCCUCACUAUUCUGGUUUUAUAACCAUAGGAUUGGUUAAACAUUCGCGAUAAGACCAUGCAUAUGUCUUAGUCCUAUUUCUUUACAUACCUAGGUCUGGUCUCAGAAAUGCUGGUGAUAGAG